rnacentral:sRNA from 1 species
GUUGUCAAUGGUAGGCGGGCCGGGAGGCAUUAAGGAAUUGACAAUGUCUUUAUA